rfam:Bacillus sp. FJAT-22058 super1, whole genome shotgun sequence.
CUCUUAUCAAGAGCAGGCUGAGGGAUAAAGGCCCUAUGAAGCCCAGCAACCGACUGUAAUACCAUUGUGAAAUGGGGCGGAUCUUCCGCCGGAUUAUUAAAUCCACAGAGCACGGUGCUAAUUCCACCAGAAUUCAUUUUCUGGAAGAUAAGAG